UACGGAGGGGGCUAGCGUUGUUCGGAAUUACUGGGCGUAAAGCGCACGUAGGUGGCUUUGUAAGUUAGAGGUGAAAGCCCGGGGCUCAACUCCGGAAUUGCCUUUAAGACUGCAUCGCUAGAACGUCGGAGAGGUAAGUGGAAUUCCGAGUGUAGAGGUGAAAUUCGUAGAUAUUCGGAAGAACACCAGUGGCGAAGGCGGGUUGCUGGGCUGAUACUGACGCUGAGGCGCGAAAGCCAGGGGGAGCAAACGGG
rnacentral:rRNA from 1 species